rnacentral:rRNA from 1 species
AAACUUUCAACAACGGAUCUCUUGGUUCUGGCAUCGAUGAAGAACGCAGCGAAAUGCGAUAAGUAAUGUGAAUUGCAGAACUCAGUGAAUCAUCGAAUCUUUGAACGCACAUUGCGCCCUCUGGUAUUCCGGGGGGCAUGCCUGUUCGAGCGUCAUU